CCACUCAUAGUAUAUUUACAAUACUAUUUACAGCAUAAAAGUCUCACACCUAUCUAUACCAAGACAGAGUUCACAAAAGGGAUGGGAUCUCAAUCCACAUCCGGGUUACAUUCAAGAUCCCUCUCUGGAUCAUCUUCUUCUUCAAAAGUCUUUCUCCCCUUCAGGUUCCCCUUCCUUAGCUUCUCCUCAGGGUCCUGAAAUGGUUAUUGAAUAACCAAUGAGACCACGUCUCAGCGAGUCCUACCCACUAAGACUCGAUUAAUAAACUAAUACGCCAUCCGGUUGCCUAAGCACAAUUCGAGUCAGAGGACUUACCUUAGCCUCAGUUCCAACCUGCAAUUCAAGGUUAAACAUAGAUAUUCAAACAAUUCACAACAUCCGAUCAAGCGUUGAUCAAUCGACUAAGUCGAUUACAUGUCAGCCAGACCCUUUCUAGGUCAUUCCCACUCAUACCACGAAUUCCCAGUGGUGUACUCAUUCACCAAAUCACAUGUGUUUCUCGGGCGUCGUUUUCGCCAAUGACAUACCGAUCACCGACACCGUGCGUUCUUUAAGGCGCCGUUUUCACCAGUGAUAACCUUGAUCACCGAACCACGUGUCCUUUCAAGGGCGCCGUUUUCGCCAAGGUGACAUCGGCUAUAGACCACAUCGUGCGUUCUUUAAGGCGCCGUUUUCACCAGUGAUAUUCCCAUAACCACCGAACCACGUGUGUCUAUAAGUCAUUUACGUGCGUUCUUUAAGGCGCCGUUUUCGCCAGUGAUACUUCCAAUCACCAAACCACGUAUGUCCAAUAAUAUCGUACCUGAUUGGUCUCACAAUUCUCCCUACUAUAUAGCCCAUCAAUGUACUGGCGCUAUAUAUCCAUGCUUAGCCAUUACCAAUCAAAUACUCAAUAACAAACAAUUUAGGACAAUUCCUAAAAUUCCACAAUAAAUUCAAUUCCACACAACGUAGAGCUCAAAUAAAUAAACGGUCUGCACCACGACAAUCGGCACGAAAUUCCGGUCACCGGCCAUCCCGGUUGAAUUUCCGGAAAAAUAAUUAAUUAAAUAAAUAAAUUUCGAAAAUAAAUAAAUAAACAUUAAAAAAUCCAAUUUAGGCCUAUAUUGCCUUAUUGGAGCCCGAAACGGGUCGGGAAAAAUCCCGAGAUGCAUUCAAUAAAUAACCAAACAUUUCUACUUGCUAAUAGCUAGGUCUAACCACCUAACAUGCAUCAUUAAGUCACUAAAUUAAUUGUUCUAACCUAAUCUAACCACCUAAGUGCAUGUAAUUAAAUCUAACCAACCCUAAGACAUAAUUAGCAAACUAAUAAAGCUUUAGUGAGUAAAACUCACUUGAUCAAAAGCGGAGACCGAAUCACCG
rnacentral:lncRNA from 1 species